ACCCCACUCCCCCCCCCCCUUUCUGAGUAGUUCUGCUUCCGUGCACCCGUACGGAUGAGCGAGCGGGGGCUCUGAAGUCGCUGACAGUGACGUCAUCUCAGAGGAGGGUUUCCUGACCUCAUCGCAGUAGGCACCUGCCUAUCCAGGACCCUAAGCGAUGUAAACAGUCGGGGCUUUCCUUAACCGAGCGCCGUGCGAGGGCUCAGCCAUUCCCUCUGCCUUCUUCGCGGAGCCACAGGACGCGGCCCUCGCGUGUCUGAGGCUCCAGAGGGAAAGGGGCUUGACCGAGGCCACGGAACGCGCCCUGCUUCAGCGGCGGGGUGACCUAGAACGUCAAUCGUGGAAACGCUUUAUAAUGCAUGACACAGACCAGGUGCUACACAGUGUAUAAAAUGCAUCGCAAUGUAACCCAAGACAAGCAGGAAUGGAAGUAACUGCACGGACCGAAUGCAGCAGCGAGGCAGUGCUGGCCUCUUAUCUAGAAAGGUGUUGUUGUGUCUUCUGCGUGUCGAUUGGCGGCCAGGAGUUUAACCGGGGAGGUAGGAGGAGGAUCUGGCCUGAGAGAAUAACAGAAGCAAAAGCACAGCAGGGGUUUUAAACAGAAGAACGACACAAUAUAAUACACGUUUUAAAAAAUAACUAUGGCCAGAAGAAAAUAAGAACCAUGGCUGCCUUGUGGAGAAUGGACUAUGAAAGCAGAGACCAAUUCUGAGGCUAUCUCAGUAGUCCAGGUCUCCAUGAAAACAUGAAAGUUAAAAAAAUAAUAAUAAAAUUAAAAAAAAAAAACAUGAAAGUUGUUUGGAAGAGGAGGAGGGGGCCCACGUGCAUGUCUUCCACAGCUCUCCUGAUCUAGAGUUUCUCCAGGGCAAAUGCCCACAUCACCUCUCACAUUCCCAGAACUAGCUUAGCUUCUCACACUUCAUGGCAAAAGAGGAUUGCUGUUGGCAGUCAGCAGAUUGGAUGCAACUGAUACAAUGCAGCCAGGUUAUGAAUUGGUAAAGGACUGCAGCAGGGAGCAAAAGGGAAAUGGAAAUGCCUCAAGGACCUGAAGAUUGGAGUGACCGAGGGUACCCCAGAACAGUGGCACCUGAGAGGCCCACCUGACCCCAAAGCUUUCAGAAAUGAAAAAGCUUUUCAGUUUUAAAACUUUUUCGUGUGUGGGGGUUUCCCCUCUUGGUUUGUUUUUUUUGUUUUUGCUUUUGUUUUUUUUUUUUCAUCUGUUGUGUUGAGACAGUAACCAUGAUUUAAAAGACAUAGUCACCUCUUCUAGCUCCAGGAACCAGAUGCCACUCCUUAUGGUUAUUUCACAAUGUGGCAGGAACCGGUUUGUCAAUUCUUUCUUCCCAACUAUACCCUCACAGACAUCACCAAUAAGGAAGUAAUGGAGGGCUUGUGGUACAUGACUUCUCAUCCAGAAGUCUUUAUACACUGCUUCACAUUUUGCUUUCAUGAAAAUUGUUGCAUGUGUGGUUUAACACACUCAGCUGCUGAAGCAAUGAACAGAAUUCCCAUCUUAAAGAAUGUCAAAGGUCAAUAAAAUAAUUAAAAUCAUUA